UACGAGGGGGGCAAGCGUUGUUCGGAAUUAUUGGGCGUAAAGGGAGCGUAGGCGGCGUGGUAAGUCAGAUGUGAAAUCCCGGGGCUCAACCCCGGAACUGCAUCCGAUACUGCCAUGCUUGAGGGUUGGAGAGGUGACUGGAAUUCUCGGUGUAGCAGUGAAAUGCGUGGAUAUCGAGAGGAACACUCGUGGCGAAGGCGAGUCACUGGACAACAUCUGACGCUGAGGCUCGAAGGCUAGGGGAGCAAGCGGG
rnacentral:rRNA from 1 species